rnacentral:rRNA from 1 species
AUUGAACGCUGGCGGCAGGCUUAACACAUGCAAGUCGAACGAUGAUUAUCUAGCUUGCUAGAUAUGAUUAGUGGCGGACGGGUGAGUAACAUUUAGGAAUCUGCCUAGUAGUGGGGGAUAGCUCGGGGAAACUCGAAUUAAUACCGCAUACGACCUACGGGUGAAAGGGGGCGCAAGCUCUUGCUAUUAGAUGAGCCUAAAUCAGAUUAGCUAGUUGGUGGGGUAAAGGCCCACCAAGGCGACGAUCUGUAACUGGUCUGAGAGGAUGAUCAGUCACACCGGAACUGAGACACGGUCCGGACUCCUACGGGAGGCAGCAGUGGGGAAUAUUGGACAAUGGGGGCAACCCUGAUCCAGCCAUGCCGCGUGUGUGAAGAAGGCCUUUUGGUUGUAAAGCACUUUAAGCAGGGAGGAGAGGCUAAUGGUUAAUACCCAUUAGAUUAGACGUUACCUGCAGAAUAAGCACCGGCUAACUCUGUGCCAGCAGCCGCGGUAAUACAGAGGGUGCGAGCGUUAAUCGGAAUUACUGGGCGUAAAGCGAGUGUAGGUGGCUCAUUAAGUCACAUGUGAAAUCCCCGGGCUUAACCUGGGAACUGCAUGUGAUACUGGUGGUGCUAGAAUAUGUGAGAGGGAAGUAGAAUUCCAGGUGUAGCGGUGAAAUGCGUAGAGAUCUGGAGGAAUACCGAUGGCGAAGGCAGCUUCCUGGCAUAAUAUUGACACUGAGAUUCGAAAGCGUGGGUAGCAAACAGGAUUAGAUACCCUGGUAGUCCACGCCGUAAACGAUGUCUACUAGCCGUUGGGGUCCUUGAGACUUUAGUGGCGCAGUUAACGCGAUAAGUAGACCGCCUGGGGAGUACGGCCGCAAGGUUAAAACUCAAAUGAAUUGACGGGGGCCCGCACAAGCGGUGGAGCAUGUGGUUUAAUUCGAUGCAACGCGAAGAACCUUACCUGGUCUUGACAUAGUGAGAAUCCUGCAGAGAUGCGGGAGUGCCUUCGGGAAUUCACAUACAGGUGCUGCAUGGCUGUCGUCAGCUCGUGUCGUGAGAUGUUGGGCUAAGUCCCGCAACGAGCGCAACCCUUUUCCUUAUUUGCCAGCGGGUUAAGCCGGGAACUUUAAGGAUACUGCCAGUGACAAACUGGAGGAAGGCGGGGACGACGUCAAGUCAUCAUGGCCCUUACGACCAGGGCUACACACGUGCUACAAUGGUAGGUACAGAGGGUUGCUACACAGCGAUGUGAUGCUAAUCUCAAAAAGCCUAUCGUAGUCCGGAUUGGAGUCUGCAACUCGACUCCAUGAAGUCGGAAUCGCUAGUAAUCGCGGAUCAGAAUGCCGCGGUGAAUACGUUCCCGGGCCU